GGACCCGCACAAGUAGUGGAGCAUGUGGUUUAAUUCGAAGAUACGCGCAGAACCUUACCAACACUUGACAUGUUCGUCGCGACUCUAAGAGAUUAGAGUUUUCGGUUCGGCCGGACGAAACACAGGUGCUGCAUGGCUGUCGUCAGCUCGUGUCGUGAGAUGUUGGGUUAAGUCCCGCAACGAGCGCAACCCUCACUUUUAGUUGCCAUCAUUAAGUUGGGCACUCUGAAAGAACUGCCAGUGAUAAGCUGGAGGAAGGUGGGGAUGACGUCAAGUCCUCAUGGCCCUUACGUGUUGGGCUACACACGUGCUACAAUGGUAUCUACAACAGGAAGCAAGACUGCGAAGUUAAGCAAAUCCCUAAAAGAUACCUCAGUUCGGAUUGCACUCUGCAACUCGAGUGCAUGAAGCUGGAAUUACUAGUAAUCGCAGGUC
rnacentral:rRNA from 1 species